UCCACAUGGUGUUGAGCCUGAGGAUGCAC
rnacentral:piRNA from 1 species